AUGGCCCAAGUUCAGGUUGAUGGUGUCACAGUAAUCCUGAGCCAGGAGAACUGCCUGAAAAAGCAUCGCUGGGUCAUUGGCACAGAACUGCAUGAUGAGGGGCUGGUUGUCAGGCUACACCUCACAGUACAGGUUUUCCUUUUGGUAGUUGGCAUUGUGAACGAAGAACUGGGUGUGCAGUGUGGGCGUGUAGGACAGCUGUGCCCAUUUGGCAGCUCAGCAGCCUCCAGGCCAGCUGGCUGUGGUCACCAUGGGGCCACCACCUGGCAUGGCCCCGACACAGCGUUUUCAUGUAAGGCAUUCAGAAAGAAAAUCUGGCAUAAGCAUGAGAAGAAAUCUACUCUUGUCAGAAAAAUCCUUGGUGGGAGCAAAACUGAAUUUUUGAAACUUGGGAAGAUAAAACACCUAGAAGUUUUAAAAAACAAGGCCCUGAGUGACACAGGUGGCCUUGGACAGAACUCAGUGCAAGAUUUCUAAGAUGCAAAAUGAGGCAGGAAAUAAGGCAAGUGACAUCAGGUAGAAACUAAUAUGUCAGGCUACAGAGUUUACUGAAUAAUAUUUUUUCUAUUUUAAAAAAUUACUUUAAUAAUUUUGGGGAGCAGGUGGUAUCUGGUUAUAUGGAUAAGUUUUUUAGUGGUAACUUUUGAGAUUUUGAUGCACCCAUCAUCCAAGCAAUGUACACUGUACCUACUGUGUAGUCUUACCUCUCACUCCCUGUCUCACCCUUUCCUCUAAGUCCCCAGGGUCCAUUACAUCAUUCUUAUGCCUUUGGAUCCUCAUAGCUUAGCUCCUUCUUAUGAGUGAAAACAUAACAAUGUUUGGUUUUUCAUUCCUGGGUUAUGUCACUUAGAAUAAUGGUCUCCAACUCCAUCCAAGUUGCUGUGAAUGCCACUAUUGAAUUCUUUUUUAUGGCUGAGUAGUAUUCCAUGGUAUAUAUGUAUGUAUAUAUACCACAUUUUCUUUAUCCACUCAUUGAUUGAUGGGUAUUUAGGCUAGUGCCAUAUCUUUGCAAUUGCAAAUUGUGCUGCUAUUAACAUGAAUGUGCAAGAAAAAGAUACUCAGAGUAUCUUUUCCUCUGAGUAUAUACUAAGUAGUGGGACUGCUGGAUGGAAUGGUAGUUCUACUUUUAGUUCUUUAAGGAAUCUCCAUACUGUUUUCUAUAGUGGUUGUACUAGUUUACAUUCCACCAGCAGUGUAAAAGUGUUCCCUUUCAUUACAUCCAUGCCAACAUCUAUUAUUUUUUGAUUUUUAAAUUAUGGUCAUUCUUGCAAGAGUAAAGUGGUAUUGUAUUGUGGUUUUGAUUUGCAUUUUUCUGAUAAUUAGUGAUGUUAAGCAUUUUUUAUAUGCUUGUUGACCAUUUGUAUAUAUUAUUUUGAGAAUUAUGUGUUCAUGUCCUUAGGCCACUUUUUAAUGAGAUUUUUUUUUCCUUGCUAAUUUAUUUGAGAUCCUUAUAGAUUCUAGAUAUUAGGCCUUGGUU
rnacentral:lncRNA from 13 species